rnacentral:lncRNA from 1 species
CCCCGACAUAUUUUCCGUAUGCAAAGUGACCUCAGUGUGACCCAUCUCGUAAAAAUCCGGUGAUCGCAAUACGCAUGGAUGUCCUUAAAAUAAACUAUUAUCUGAAUCUACAUGUUAAACACGUGCUCAAUUUCCAUGCUUUUUUGUUGAUUGUUGACAAACAGGCGACAAUCGUUAAACGUCGGCUCCAAAACACGAACUUUAAUUACCUGCCAUAAUUUCACAACAACACUGACCGAUUGAGAAAAAAAAUUGACGAUUAUACGAAAUUUAUGCAAAAAAAAAAAAUGAAAAUUCUUGAACAGAAGACUUAGUUUAUGAUGUUUGUAUGCAUUGGUUCAAGAAUUGGAAGAACAUUAUUUUUCACCGGUCACUCGUUUCUUAUGACUUUAAAGUGAAGUU